rnacentral:rRNA from 1 species
AUUGAACGCUGGCGGCAUGCCUUACACAUGCAAGUCGAGCGCGAAAGGGGGCAACCCCGAGUAGAGCGGCGGACGGGUGAGUAACGCAUCGGAACGUGCCCAGUAGUGGGGGACAACCUCGAGAAAUCGAGGCUAAUACCGCAUACGAUCCACGGGUGAAAGCGGGGGACCGCAAGGCCUCGCGCUAUUGGAGCGGCCGAUGUCCGAUUAGCUAGUUGGCGGGGUAAGAGCCCACCAAGGCGACGAUCGGUAGCUGGUCUGAGAGGACGACCAGCCACACUGGGACUGAGACACGGCCCAGACUCCUACGGGAGGCAGCAGUGGGGAAUUUUGGACAAUGGGGGCAACCCUGAAUCCAGCCAUGCCGCGUGCGGGAAGAAGGCCUUCGGUGUAACG